UGGGAGAGCUCUGGUGACCUAUAGAAGAGUGCUAACAGGCUGCUAAUGGAACAUCUUUCGUCCAAAUGCUCCAAGUGGGCUUGAAGCACACAGACCACCUUACUGCCUCAUGGCUUGACAGCACUUAUAAUGCUGCUGCUACUUUAAGCACUGGAUCCGGCAAGCUGUUAAAGACCCCAAACUGAUGGAUUACUCCUGCCCUUGUAUUGCAUCACUAAAAUGAUCUUUACUGGGGAGAAAUUUACACUGCGCAUAGACUUUAAUUCACUGGAUGGGAACGUGAUGGAGGUGAUCAUUUCUGCACACAGAGCUGCUAAGCUAAGCCAUUUGGUUUUCUCCCCGACAAAACCCACAAUGUCGACGAAGCGUUCUGCGCCCAAAAGGCAGAGGAAGCCAGCCAUCACACAAAAAGUUGGACUUCUGGACAUGCACAACAAUUUAAUAAGUCCAAUCCUGUGUGUCUUUUUACCGCUCCCCUUCUGAUGUGUUGGGGGAGGAAUGAUCUGCUCAUUCUAUCAGUGGAGCAGGACAGUGAUAGUAAUCUGCCACUGGAACUGCUCGUCUGUUGGGAGAUGAUGCUGUGCAUUGGAUGAUGCUGGUCGUCAAUGAUGGAAAGGAGCCUCCUUGGCGUCCUUUGUUCUGCCACAGAUGCCAGGCUGUCCCAGCUCAGUGCCAAUGACAGAGCCUGCCUUCCUCACCAGUUUGUCCAGGCAUGUGGCGUCCUUCUUCUUGAGGCUGCUCCCCCAGCACACUACUGCAUACAGGAGGGCGCCAGCUACCACAGUCUGGUAGAAGAUCCGUAUCAGCUUCUUGCACACGUUGAUACCCGUGAAACUCCCGUGUUUUGCCCUUCUUCCCUGGUGCCCUCCCGUUUUAAUAGUCACUCAUAUUUUUCCUGUAUUUCAGCUUUCAUGAAGUACUUUCCAGUACUGCCGGAGCAGCACAGCUUCCGGUCCGCUCAGCAAGACUUGCGCAACAUCGGUGUAGCACAUCGAAGCACGCAAGUGGGUGUGGGAGGUGCUGGUGGAAUCGUAUAAUUAUCGUAUAAUGCAAAUGUUGCCAGAGAUCACAGCUGUACCAACUGGGGAGGCCCUGGGGCUUGAGAAGACGUCCGACCCAGCUGGACACCCCCAGGGGAGAUGAUGUCGUCCUGCUGGCCUCACCGAGCCGUGACCUUCAACUCUCGCCGGAUCGGUUCGCAGCCGAGUGUGAAGCGGCCAGGAUGACAAUCGGCACCUCCAAGUCCGAGUCCAUGGUUCUCGGUCGGAAAAGGGCGCAGUCCCAUCUUGUUCACAAGUGAGGGAAGGAUGGAACGCAACAUCGACAUGCGGAUUGGUGCGGCGUCUGCAGUGAUGCUCUGCAUGGGUGGUGAAGAGGGAAGCAAAGCUCUCAGUUCACCGGUCGAUCUACGUUCCUCCCCUCACAUAUGGUCAUGAGCUUUGGGUAGUGACUGAAAGGACAAGAUGGCGGGUACAAGCAGCCGAACUCGGAGAAGAACCGCUGCUCCUCCGUAUUGAGAGGAGCCAGAUGACCGGUAGGAGGCCUUGGGGAAGACCCAAGACACGUUGGAGAGACUAUGUCUUUCAACUGGCCUGGGAACACCUCAGGAUCCGCCAGGAGGAGCCGGGGAGAGGGAAGUCUGGGCUCCCCUGCUUAGGCUUCUGCCUCCCCCACCCGAUCUCGGAUGAGCGGAAGAAGAUGGAUGGAUGUAUUUAGAUGAUUCCUUAUGGGAAAAAUUGAUUUGGAUAGCGUCUGUUUUGGAGCGAAUGAAUGACGUGAACCAAGGGUACACUGUAUGCGCCUGCCAAUUUGUGAUCUUAAAAACCUCAUGCAGUGAAAAUAUACCAUGCAGAGCCGAAGGCAAAGGACUUUUUGUUUAUGUCCCUAUCAGUUAGCAGCAGGAAGUCUCGGCUGUUCAGAUUCCUCCUCGCCGCAUCAGGCGGCUCACACGUGAACCCCAGCUUUUCAAUCAGCUCCCCACCAGCUUAACAGGCAAGUCAUUGUCAAAACAGAUUAGAUACUGUCUGUGACUCUAAUCUAUUUUGACGUGCACACGCACAAAACACUCACGGCGAGACAAUGUCUUCUAUAAGAAGAAGACUUUUCAGAUGGAGAGGAACCAGCGACCACCGUCUCUGGUUUAUGUAACAGGAAUUUUGUUGUGCUGCAAAUGAAGAACACCCCCCAAACUUACACCCACAUAUACAAAAAUACAUAACAGCUCUCAUAAACGCCUGCGAUGGUGAGGCUGGCUGUCACCCCCCCCCGCGCCCUCCCUGCUCCUGGCAAAGUAGACAGGCCCCACGUUCAUUAGUUCACGUCGUACUCUUAUAUAAUAUUUACAAGUUGACAAGUUGUAGUUAAUGUGAAGAGCGUGCUGAGCGUGAGGAUUGUGGACCAGGGGAGCUGGCAAACCCAGUUCAGAUCAAACCUGAUCGACUGUGGCUUUUACGCACUCCAUUUUGUCGGAGACUGUCACAGUCUAAAAUGUCAGCAACCUGCCAGCUGUGGGUGCCAGUGGAAGUUGCUGGACGGCGGGCUACGAUUAGCUCUGAAUAGUCCCGACAAACAACCUGGUCUGCGGUGCAAAUAGUCAGCCAUCGUGUGCACGAGGAGGAUGCCCCCCCGAGACACGGGGAUAAUGCAUUCAUCCUAGCUUUCACACAGAAAGACUCGCAGUUGAUUGUAGUGUGGGUUAGGACUAACAGAGUCAGCUGAUGCAACGCGGAAGCUGCUGUGUGGUGAAGAAACUUGAUAUCACGUUUUCUCAUUCAUCAUCGCCGCCUUAUGCUGCGCAAUUAAAUCUUGCAUGAGCACGCAAUUGAAUGCCUUUCUGCAGGACAGGCGUGCGUGCUGUCGCCUCUUUACAAGUGAGGCGGCUGGCCCUUUUUAUGCUUGACACUGAAAAUGAAGUCACAGCAGCUGUUAAAAAUACGCUUUCCUCCAAAUUUCACAUUCACUUCUUUUUGGUGAGGUACUUUUUAAGAAAAAAAAGCUAUAAUUAAAACAGAAUUGUCACACAUUAAAAUACAGUCCUCAGGAGAAUAUUCCUGACAGUGAACACGGAGGGAGGCGGGUCGUGAAAAACACCUUUUAUGCGCGUUGGAGGUGACUCAAAGCAAUAGAGAGACGCUGAGAACCUACACAGGCUACAAUGUACAAGUGUAUGUGUGUGUGUGUGUGUGUGUGUGUGUGUGUGUGUGUGUGUGUGUGUGUGCAUCAAGUGACAAAGAAGAAUGGGGACAUGGGCAGGUCCUGGUAAUGAAGGACUGAUAAGUCCCUAUUUCCCGGGCUUGGGUUAAUUGCGCCUACAGAUAAAGGGUAAUAAAUUGUCACGGGGUAAUGGCAGGAGCCUGGACUGGGCCCUGUUCCACAUUCAUCAUGACUGGCGAUGCCUGAGAGCAGCCACCACUGAGAGGCGGGUAGCGCUUGGCACACAGAGGAGGGCGACUCGCGAGGAAGGGACGAGCAUAUGAAGCUCUGUUAAAGGGAUGAUUGGGAUUUUUUGACAUGAAGUUGUAAGACGUCCCCAUCAGCAGUGUAGUCCAUCAUCAAUGACUUACCCCCCCACUUGGUCCCGUGAGUACCGCUUAGUUGCUGGGCCAAUUUAAGUAAAGAGUUUGGCUCUCUCAAAACAACAUGCGUCCAAAAGAGUAAUACAUUUGCAUCACGAAAAUGCCUCCAUUGAUCAAGAUGUGUGGCGGCGUCUCUGUGUCCACACUGAGCAGGGGGAGAGGCGGGGUUAAACACGCCGUGGUGCUCUAGAGCCCAUUCUUUUGCAAGAAUCAUAACUUUAUAUUAUAAC